CCUACGGGAGGCAGCAGUGGGGAAUAUUGGGCAAUGGGCGCAAGCCUGACCCAGCAACGCCGCGUGAAGGAAGAAGGCUUUCGGGUUGUAAACUUCUUUUAUUGAGGACGAAACAAAUGACGGUACUCCAUGAAUAAGCCACGGCUAACUACGUGCCGGCAGCCGCGGGAAGACGUAGGUGGCAAGCGUUAUCCGGAUUUACGGGGUGUAAAGGGGGUGUAGGCGGGACUGCAAGUCAGAUGUGAAACCCAUGGGCUCAACCCAUGGCCUGCAUUUGAAACUGUAGUUCUUGAGUGAUGGAGAGGCAGGCGGAAUGCGGGGUGUAGCGGUGAAAUGCGUAGAUAUACGGCGGAACACCAGUUGCGAAGGCGGCCUGCUGGA
rnacentral:rRNA from 1 species